rnacentral:lncRNA from 1 species
UACUCUUCUGCAACUGCUUUCUCUAUCUUCUUAUUCAUUCGAACGGCCAAAUAUGUGGUGUCUCGGAUAACCUCCUCACCUAGUUAUCUACUCGACGUGUAAAAUCAAUGUUGAACACUGGUACGUUCCUUAAAUAUCAUAGUACUCCUAGUUGUGCAUAAACAUAUUUUUUUGAAGACUAAAUCAUGUUUGAAUUAAUUAGGUCACAAGUCGCAACUCUCCACUGGUGUGAUUAAUUCUUCAUAUAGACUGGUGAAGAAGAAUAUUCAAACUAGCAACAGGAACCAUCCUCCGCGAAGUGAUUGCCAAUAAAAAAAGAGAGGGGAAAUUGAUUGGAAUGACCUUGUAUGUAGAUCGACCGGCCAGUGUUUAGCAUUUAUUUUACACGUCUUGUAGAAAACUAGGUGAUCAGGAUUAUCUGAGAGACGACAUGUUUUGCAAACAGUAUUCCGCAUUUUGACUGAAGAAGAAAAUGUUGGUAAAUUAUGAUGUGAUAUAAGUUGGAGUUUAUUGAAAACUUGUAGGGUAUAUCUUUAAUAUAUAUUUCAAACAACCUAAUGAUUUGAUAUUGUUUUAUUAGGGAA